GACGAACGCUGGCGGCGUGCUUAAUACAUGCAAGUCGAACGGAAAGGCCCUGCUUUUGUGGGGUGCUCGUGUGGCGAACGGGUGAGUAUAACGUGUGUAACAUGCCCUUAUCUGUGUGAUAACUUCUGGAAACAGCGGCUCAUACAGGAUAGAAUCUUCUGCUGCAUGUUGGUGGUAGGAAAGUGUCGGCGGUGGGGGAUGGACUCGCGGCUUAUCAGCUUGUUUGUGAGGUAGGUGCGUUCCAAGGCUUUGACGGGUAGCCGGCAUGGGAGGGUGACCGGCGACAUUGCGACUGCGGUAGGCACCAGAAUCCUACGGUACGCAGUAGGCGGGAGUAUUGCGCAAUGGGCGCAAGCGAGAUGUAGCGACCCUGCGUGCGGGAUGACGUGUUUCGGGUUGUAAACAUCUUUGGAAGGAGCCGAGGCGUGCGUGACGGUACCGGGUCAAAAAGCAACGGCUAACUACGUG
rnacentral:rRNA from 1 species